rnacentral:ncRNA from 1 species
UAACAUACCCACGCCUUACCAGGACUAAACAGCGUGGUAAAACAACAGUCCUUCAUACCCACACUGGAGGGUGGUGUGGGAAUACUACUACCG